GACGAACGCUGGCGGCGUGCUUAACACAUGCAAGUCGUACGGUAAGGCCCUUUCGUGGGUACACGAGUGGCGAACGGGUGCGUAACACGUGAGUAACCUGCCCACAACUUUGGGAUAACGCUAGGAAACUGGUGCUAAUACUGGAUAUGUGCUCCUGCUGCAUGGUGGGGGUUGGAAAGCUCCGGCGGUUGUGGAUGGACUCGCGGCCUAUCAGCUUGUUGGUGGGGUAGUGGCCUACCAAGGCGGCGACGGGUAGCCGGCCUGAGAGGGUGACCGGCCACAUUGGGACUGAGAUACGGCCCAGACUCCUACGGGAGGCAGCAGUGGGGAAUAUUGCACAAUGGGCGCAAGCCUGAUGCAGCAACGCCGCGUGCGGGAUGACGGCCUUCGGGUUGUAAACCGCUUUCAGCAGGGACGAAGCUUUUUGUGACGGUACCUGCAGAAGAAGCACCGGCUAACUACGUG
rnacentral:rRNA from 1 species